rnacentral:lncRNA from 1 species
CGCGCCCCCGUCCUGUGUAGGCGCGGUGCGAUCCGCGCUCUGGGCCCCGCGUCGCCGGUUGCGCCCGUUCUCCGCAGAGCCGGUCCCCUCAGAGUCGGUCCCCUCAGACCUUUCGGACCCCUUGCCUUGGGCAGCCUCCGCCGGUACCCCAGCCCUGCCUGCCUCUCAGUCCCGCCCUGAGCGAAGCGGUCCAAAGGGGCGCGGCCCGCCCACCGCCCUUCCAACGGCGCCCGGUGGGCUCCGGGGUUCGUGAUGUGCAGUGGGGUGUGGAGUCAGUGAAGCAGAGUGUGUCCGGCUCGGUGGGACACAGUGGGGUCCGGGUCGGUGGGACACAGUGGGUCUGGGAUCAGUGGGACACAGUGGGGUCUGGGAUCAGUGGGACAAAGUGGGUCCGGGUCGGUGGGACACAGUGGGUCCGGGAUCAGUGGGACACAGUGGGUCCGGGAUCAGUGGGACACAGUGGGUCCGGGUCGGUGAGCUGGGGUGCCUGUGAUCCGCAGGUAGGAAAGGAGGGAUCUGGGAUGUGCCGGGCACGGCGGGCAGCGGGAGGCGGCACCGCUUCCCCAGCCCCUGCGGGCCGUGGCAGGUGCGGGCUUAGCAAUCACCCCAGUUAUCCGCGGCUCAAAGGAAUCCACUGGGCCAGCGUUUGCAGCAUUUUACAGAAAGAAGUUCAAGCAAAGCACCUAAAUGCCAUCUGAAGUCUAGAACAGCAUCAUCUAGCAGAAUUUCAGCAGUACCAGCUGACUGAUGCAUCAAAACUGUCAGGUAGUGGUGGACUUCUGGAGGUCUCAUAAUCUUUAAGAUUCUGAAGAUCUCAUGCUUUCAGCUCUGCAGGUUUAUUUUCCUAAACAGCAGUUGAGAUAUUUCUGUGUAGUGCUGCAUUUCAGGCCAGAGAUACGCUCUAAGUAAUUUUCUCCUCAAGUCCUCUUAAAUGCAUCUGAACAUGUCCAGGUGGAGUUUAGCUCCCUGUAAAAGGGGCAGGUUUCCUCUAAAAUUUGUAAGAACUGGCAUUUGUAUGUGAUUCUGUCACCACAAAUCCCUGAGUUCCCAUUAGGCCACCCUGCAAUGCUGGUAGAGAUUGAGUAGCUCAGAAGGGAAUUCACAAUUACCUUGCCCAGCUGGGAGCUCCUCAGGGCUGAACUAUGACAAUAAAACAGAGAAUAGCACCUCUGAAAUACUUCA